UAAGGAAUAUUGGUCAAUGGACGCAAGUCUGAACCAGCCAUGCCGCGUGAAGGAUGAAAGCCCUCUGGGUUGUAAACUUCUUUUAUCUGGGAAGAAACCACCUUUUUCUAAGGGUGUUGACGGUACCAGAGGAAUAAGCACCGGCUAACUCCGUGCCAGCAGCCGCGGUAAUACGGAGGGUGCAAGCGUUAUCCGGAUUCACUGGGUUUAAAGGGUGCGUAGGCGGAUUCUUAAGUCCGUGGUGAAAUCUCCAAGCUUAACUUGGAAACUGCCAUGGAUACUAUUAGUCUUGAAUGUUGUGGAGGUUAGCGGAAUAUGUCAUGUAGCGGUGAAAUGCAUAGAUAUGACAUAGAACACCAAUUGCGAAGGCAGCUGGCUACACAAAUAUUGACGCUGAGGCACGAAAGCGUGGGGAUCAAACAG
rnacentral:rRNA from 1 species